rnacentral:rRNA from 1 species
UACGAAGGGGGCUAGCGUUGUUCGGAAUUACUGGGCGUAAAGCGUACGUAGGCGGAUUGUUAAGUGAGGGGUGAAAUCCCGAGGCUCAACCUCGGAACUGCCUUUCAUACUGGCAAUCUUGAGUCCGGGAGAGGUGAGUGGAACUCCUAGUGUAGAGGUGAAAUUCGUAGAUAUUAGGAAGAACACCCGUGGCGAAAGGCGGCUCUCUGGGGACGGUACUGACGCUGAGACGCGAAAGCGUGGGGAGCGAACAGG